rnacentral:rRNA from 1 species
AGCCAGACUCCUACGGGAGGCAGCAGUGGGGGAUAUUGCACAAUGGGGGAAACCCUGAUGCAGCGACGCCGCGUGGGUGAAGAAGCGCCUCGGCGCGUAAAGCCCUGUCAGCAGGGAAGAAAAUGACGGUACCUGAAGAAGAAGCCCCGGCUAACUACGUGCCAGCAGCCGCGGUAAUACGUAGGGGGCAAGCGUUAUCCGGAUUCACUGGGCGUAAAGGGAGCGCAGGCGGCACGGCAAGUCUGAUGUGAAAGCCCGGGGCUCAACCCCGGGACUGCAUUGGAAACUGCCGGGCUGGAGUGUCGGAGGGGUAAGCGGAAUUCCUAGUGUAGCGGUGAAAUGCGUAGAUAUUAGGAGGAACACCAGUGGCGAAGGCGGCCUACUGGACGGUGACUGACGCUGAGGCUCGAAAGCGUGGGGAGCAAACAGGAUUAGAUACCCGUGUAGC